CUGAUGUUAGCGGCGGACGGGUGAGUAACACGUGGGUAACCUGCCUGUAAGACUGGGAUAACUCCGGGAAACCGGGGCUAAUACCGGAUGGUUGUUUGAACCGCAUGGUUCAAACAUAAAAGGUGGCUUCGGCUACCACUUACAGAUGGACCCGCGGCGCAUUAGCUAGUUGGUGAGGUAACGGCUCACCAAGGCAACGAUGCGUAGCCGACCUGAGAGGGUGAUCGGCCACACUGGGACUGAGACACGGCCCAGACUCCUACGGGAGGCAGCAGUAGGGAAUCUUCCGCAAUGGACGAAAGUCUGACGGAGCAACGCCGCGUGAGUGAUGAAGGUUUUCGGAUCGUAAAGCUCUGUUGUUAGGGAAGAACAAGUACCGUUCGAAUAGGGCGGUACCUUGACGGUACCUAACCAGAAAGCCACGGCUAACUACGUGCCAGCAG
rnacentral:rRNA from 1 species